rnacentral:rRNA from 1 species
GACGAACGCUGGCGGCGUGCCUAAUACAUGCCAGUUGAGCGCUGAAGGUUGGUACUUGUACCAACUGGAUGAGCAGCGCACGGGUGAGUAACGCGUGGGGAAUCUGCCUUUGAGCGGGGGACAACAUUUGGAAACGAAUGCUAAUACCGCAUAAAAACUUUAAACACAAGUUUUAAGUUUGAAAGAUGCAAUUGCAUCACUCAAAGAUGAUCCCGCGUUGUAUUAGCUAGUUGGUGAGGUAAAGGCUCACCAAGGCGAUGAUACAUAGCCGACCUGAGAGGGUGAUCGGCCACAUUGGGACUGAGACACGGCCCAAACUCCUACGGGAGGCAGCAGUAGGGAAUCUUCGGCAAUGGACGAAAGUCUGACCGAGCAACGCCGCGUGAGUGAAGAAGGUUUUCGGAUCGUAAAACUCUGUUGGUAGAGAAGAACGUGGGUGAGAGUGGAAAGCUCAUCAAGUGACGGUAACUACCCAGAAAGGGACGGCUAACUACGU